GGCACCAGGUCAUUGGAUGCUAGCUUAGCUUAGCUUACAUUACAUGAUCGGAUCGGAUCGGCAGGCCGUUGUCAUGAGCAGAGCUCCCGCAAGAAUCCAAGCAGAGGAUGCCAUGGACCCGACACGCCGAUGGCGAAUCGGCGAUCGGGACGCCCCCGCUCAGGAAAUAUCGCCCCCCUGCAGCCCAAAUGAUUUGAUGGUUGAUGCAACGCAGCGCCAGAGAUUCCACAAUUAUUGCCGACGGCUCGCUGCAUCAGUCAGCGUUGGACGCCGGCCGGCCGUGCAGCUCAGCUCGUCGAUGUUUCAGGCCUCACGGCGGCGCGCCAUCGCCGGCUCGCCGUGGUAGUAGAUGCUCUGGAGGCCAUGGUUCUGGGAGAAGAUGCAUUGCAUCGGUGGCGCAGGCAACACAACACAUGGCGUGCUCGAGUUGCUUCGGCGUGAAUGAUUGGAUUGCCGGGUGGCACACAUGCCGAUGCGUUUUGUUCGGCCCAUCCAUCUGCUGAUCUGCGUGUGCAUGGUUUGAUUUGUCCUCCUUGCCCGACGCAGCAUAUGCCUCUGCUGCGCUUCUCAUCUAGUCAUCUUAUUGGAUCUUGUCAGGAUGUGCUCCUCAUGCCCGUUCCCUUCUAGACUGUUCAUUCGCCCGGAACAGUCUUCACCUGUAUCUUGACUGAAUCCAUCCAUGAGCCAAUUCGAUCAGUCUUCUUGACCUGA